rnacentral:lncRNA from 1 species
GUUUGCUAAAUGCCUUGUUUAUUCUGCAAACAAGGCUUAUUAAAAAAAAGAAAUGUACAGACACACUUUGUAGGUUGAGAAAUCUCUGUGUAGUUGUGACUUCACAACUAUACUUCGGCAAAAGCAGUAAUGACGGUGGCUUCUGAACACAUUAAUCUACCAUUGUUUUGUCUAGAGCGAACACAGUGAGAAUGGAUUCCUAAUGGCCUGUUUCUCUAAGUGAUCGUCACAUUUCGCUGCUCUAUCUUUAAGAACUAGUGGAGCCUUCACUUGAGCUGCCAUCUCCUUGCUGCUCAGGGCUUCAACAAUUGUAAUCACAAACUCAAAGCUGGUCCUAGGCCCUGGGCUUAUAAGAAUUUCAGGCCGUCCUUUUCCACACGAUUCUCAGAGUAGGUGUAAUGGCUUCCAUUCAUCAUUUUGUCCUUAGCAAGCGGGAGUGUUGUAACUUUACUUCCAAAACUGAUCUCAUGAGCCAUCAGAGCAGUAGGACCUGCACAGAUAGUGGCUAUAAGGCCCUUCUGGUUUUCCUGCUCCUUUAGUAUCUCCUUCACAGAAGCAGACUCAGGUAAAUUCUGUGCACCCAGAUUACCUCCUGGUAGAACUACUAUGUCAUAUGGUCCCUCUUUUUUUGCAUCUUCAAGACUGGCAUCAGGACAAAUGAAAACAUCAAGGCUACACUGUACUGGGUCUUUUCCAGCCAGACCUGCAAUGGUGACCUUAAUCCCAGCUUGCCUCAUGACAUCUACAGGAUGACCGUCUCCAUUUCCUCUGCUCCUUUAGCCAAAAACUC